GACGAACGCUGGCGGCGUGCUUAACACAUGCAAGUGGAGCGACGAACCAGGCUUCGGCCUGGGGCAGAGCCGCGAACGGGUGAGUAACACGUGGGUAACGUGCCCCAAUGACUGGGACAACCCGAGGAAACUCGGGCUAAUACCGGAUAUGCCCCCUCACGAGAGUGAGGUGUGUAAAGGAAGCUUCGGCCUCCGCAUUGGGAUCGGCCCGCGGCGCAUUAGCUUGUUGGUGGGGUAACGGCCUACCAAGGCAACGAUGCGUAGCUGGUCUGAGAGGACGAUCAGCCACACUGGGACUGAGACACGGCCCAGACUCCUACGGGAGGCAGCAGUGGGGAAUCUUGCGCAAUGCGCGAAAGCGUGACGCAGCAACGCCGCGUGGGGGAAGACGGCCUUCGGGUUGUAAACCCC
rnacentral:rRNA from 1 species